GCUGUAGCUUAGGGGUGGAGUAUCUGCUUCCCAUGUAGAAGUUCCAGGUUCAAUCCCUGACAUCUCCC